rnacentral:sRNA from 1 species
GUGUGUGCAUGUGCAUAUGUGUGUGCGUGUUCGUGUAUCUAUGUGUAUGUUUCUCUGCUUAAAGUCUGUCCUAUCUGGAGAUAAAACGAUGAAUUGAGGCUCAAUAUUUAAAAGCCAUAUGAUAACUUGGCUGUGUAGUGUUUGGAAUCAAACUCCCUUGUAGCUGCUGCUCCUCCUCUGGGCGGUUGUAAAUGAUACACACAUCGAGAUGUGUGAUGGUGAGGCGGGGAGAAUAAUCCUCUCAGCCCAAUUUAGCAGGCAGCUUUGAUCUCACUGAACAAACCUUCACUUCAGCCAGGGACUCUGCCUGCCAUCGACACCAUGAGGGGCUUUGCUUGCGGCCGGGCUGCUUUGUGUGAGGUGGGUGCUUGCUGUUCUCCUGGCUUGUGGUACUUUGGAAUUGGAGUGAGGUUUUUUGGGGUCCGAUUUCCUGAAAUAGAAUGCAGGGCCCGCCUCAGAUAGUCUGUCAGCACAGAGGGAAAGCUGCUCCUGCACUCGUGCCUUAGCUGUGUAGAGGAGACUGCGGUGGAGUUGUGGGAGGACCUUCAUUUCAGAUCUGAUACCAGAGCCUCUAGUGUAUGUUCAGAGAGAAACCGCAAAUUUGACAUGCUGUCUCCACCCCAAACCCCAAGCCUAACUAAGCCCCUUCUAACAAGUCAUUUCCAAAGCACCGUGGAGUGGUUAGUUCUUCCCAUCAACUACCCCAGAGCAAGCUCUUUUGCAAGAGAACAUCAGUGUCUGUUAGUGUCUAGGUCCCCAACUGGAUCUGAUCUGCGUUCCUGUCUUCUUUGUUCUGGUUCAUUUUGGCCAAAUAACACUCUGAGCUGACAACCAGGCAAGCGGAGCCUGUGUCAGGCACAAUCCCCUGAGAUGGGGUGUGAGUAGGAACUCCAGAGUGAAGGGGUUUUAAAAACAUAGCUAAUCAAACUGUCUUCCUGUGAAAAGGAACAAACCCGGCAACCCCUCACUGGGAACGUGCUCCACUUCUCCUGCAUAACAGCAAAAGGAAAGGCUUGUUAGACGCCUAGGCCUGGCUCCAGCAGGUAGGACAUAGCAAUUGCUUGCCAAAAUGGGAGCCCACGGGACUCUUUGGAGGGAGGAAGGCCAGGAAGUGUAUGGAGCUGCUGUACAGAGGAACCCGCUGUGAUGCUCUUCUUAUGAUUUUCCUCGUUCAUUCGAGCCCGCCUUGGAUUUCUUCCCUUCUGUGAUUGAUUUGUUUGCCUGUCUUGAGACAGCAUCUCCCUCUAAAGCCCAGGCUGGCCUGGAACUCCUAAUCCUCUUGCCUCGGCCUCUCCGGUGCAGAGCGUGCAGAUGGGCAUCAUGACGUUCAUCUUCUUUUCAUUUGAUUGACUGUUUUCCUUCUCAUCGUCUUGCUGCUUAAUGAUCCCAGCCCCAGGCUUCCAAGGCAACUGGCCAAGAAGAUUAAGUUGGCGUUUGAAGUUGAGCGCUCUCUUCACUCAUGCCUCUCCCCUCUUCUCCUCUCACAUCCCACCACCUCAGAAUCGAGGCCACGCAGCACCAAUUUUUCAACCCACUCAAGCCUGUCGUUUCUAAAAUCCCAAGGCUUCUUGAGGUUUGACUCGGAGCCAGUCACCAAACAAGCAUUCUUUACAGAGGGCUGGGGGGGGGGGGAGAGAGAGAGAGAGAGAGAAAGAGAGAGAGAGAGAGAGAGAGAGAGAGGAGUCUUAGCUUGUGAGCCAGGCGGUUCCUCUUGUAGCCCUUCCCAUCCUGUUGGCCUGUCAAUAAUACAGUAACAACAAAGUACUAACAAGCACUUUGUGCUUGUGUUUCAAUAAAACUUUAUUUAUAAAGUUAUAAUAGGUGCAAUACACCUUGAAGGACAGAUAUAAUGAGUCUGUGUGUAUGUCAGCAGAAACCCAGCCAGCUUGCACCGAAGAAGAGGGAACAAGAGGAAUAGGGGAGUCAAAUUCCAAAAUUCUAUACACAGGAAACAAACUGGACCGUGGAACAAUCCAGGUGCAAACAGGAGUGAUUUUGGCGUUUAGUUUUUGUCAACUUGGCGCAAACUAGAGUCACCUGGGAAGGGGGAACCUCAAGUGAGGAAUUUUCUCCAUCAGCCUUGCCUGUAGACUUGUCUGUGGGAUAUGUCCUUGACUGGUUGUUAAUGUGGAAGGGGUGAGUGGUGCCUACCCUAGGCAGGUGAUCCUGGGUUGUAUAAGAAAGUUAUCUGAGCAAACCAUGGGGAACAAGCCAUGGAGAGCAAGCCAGUAAUCAGGACUCCACAGUUCCUGAUACACCCAUUUGAGUUCCUGCCCUGACUUCCCUCAAAGGUGGACGGUAAGCCAAAUAAUUUCUUUCCUCCUCAAGUUGCUUGUUGUCCAUGUUUUUAUGACAACAACUGAAAGUCAUGCUACCCUUCCUGAGGAAGGAAGGAUGACUCUGAAAAUGAGCCAUGAACCCAGAGGGUAGAGCCAAGAGCCAGGUCCUGAACCUGCUUGGGUUUUGCUGGAUUUACAACCUGCUUAGGGCUAGCCCCUUCCUUUUCCUUCAAUGCCUGUUUGAGAGAGUGUGGGUGUGGCUGUGGCUGGUUUAUUAUGCAUUACUUAGUCACUUCCUCUAAAUUAAAACCUUCCCUCUUAGAGGCACCCGAGGAAUUCACCUAACUUACCAGGCUUACGAAGUCACAAAGUCACAAGAGCGGAAGUUCCUCCUUGAUCUCAGAUAAGUACAAUGAUUGCCAAGGAAAGGAGAUUUUUAUUUUCAGUGUACCCAGCUGCCUGAGUUGUGCUGCAACCCCAGGGAUGAAGCUUCCCUGAGUGGUUACCCAUGUCUGGGUGAGCUUUCAGUGAUGCAGCCGCCCGUGAGUCAUCCCAGGAAAUUUACUGGUCACUAAACUGGACAUGUGUGGAAGGGUUUCUGGGAUCUGUCAUUGGUGCCCUGUUUGGGGUGAGUGGGUGUCUGUUCACACCUCCACAGAAAAGCCACAGGACGUGCUGUCAUCUAGGGGCAGCUGAGACCACUCACUGACUUCUUUCCCCCGUGUACAGAUGACAAGAAUCUUUACCUCCAGUUAGAAUCUGCCUGAGUCUUACUCCCAUCUGAAUGGGAUGAGAUGAUGCCAUUUGAGAGUUGACUGAUGAGACCAAGGGCUUUUCCUGGUUGGCACCACUGCUAGGAGGCAUUGUGUGCAGGAGCCAGCGGUGCUGCUUCUGUCUCGAAUAUACAGGGCGUGUGGUACACAGGCUCUGAAGAGAUUGUGAAUUAAUGUAGACAUUCAUUCAAAUCCUAUUUUUGCUAAGGUCUGCCUCAUUAAAAUCCCCCCAGAGGACCACACACAAGGAUCUCUCAUCGUCCUCACUAAGUCCUGCUUGACGACAAAGAAACAGCUUCAGAGUGCGGCAAGAUGGCUGGUCAGGGGGGCACACAGUUUGCCGAGGACAGAGAUGGGCUUUAAAGCCAGGUCUUUUAACAUUAAGUUCAGGUUAAUUUCUACCCUGACUGGCACUAAGCCCCCGGUAAAUAAAGGCUCUUUUUGGAAAUAGGAGGUGUUUGUCAUCGGAGAAAAGGCUGCUGGCAGCCCAGGUGUGUUGUGCAAGGCUCGCCAGUGCACUAAUCCGCUAUACAGCAUGGUCCUAAGAAUAAGUAGGAAAGCCAGAAAGGUUCCGGGAAUGGGGCCUGGAGAAGGCGGCUGGAAGGCUGGGAAAUGUUAUGGAAUAGAAGUCACUUGAGCUCGGCUUAGUUGUAGGCAGAACAAAAGGUCAGUGCCUCAAAUCAAACAAUAGCUUUCGAGAGAGACUCGCUGAAAGCUACUGCUGGCUCCAAAUACUAAAGAAAAACAACAGGAACAGCAACAAAAACAAAAACAAAAACAAAAGCCAAGGGACCCAGAUCCAACACCAAGUAGUUCCAGGCAACAGUUUCAAUAGUUGAUAAGUAGUGUCACAACUGUCGUAGUUUUCCCCUCCUCCCAAAGGAGCACCUUUGACAUUUUACUAUAUUUCAAAUAAAAUGUAUCUUUUCCUAUGAUGCAUAGCUAUCUCAUUUAACAACAUUCUCCAAGGUGAAAUUAUAUUUUAUAAUGCAAGCUUCUAACUGGGGCAGGAGCUGUGUGGGAUGUUUGGGAAGGGGAGCUUAUGAGGAUCUUGAUAUCUCUUUUUGUAAGCCCACUGGUAACGGCUGCUCCGGGAGGUUUGACUACACUUACCCCACACCUCUGCCAGGACAGGUGCUGGGCUGUAGGAAAGCACAGAGGGGCUGCUCUGGGGUGGGAAAGCACAGUGUGAGAUGUGGAAGGGCCAGAGCUGGCUGGGGA